UACGAAGGGGGCUAGCGUUGCUCGGAAUCACUGGGCGUAAAGGGUGCGUAGGCGGGUCUUUAAGUCAGGGUGAAAUCCUGGAGCUCAACUCCAGAACUGCCUUUGAUACUGAGGAUCUUGAGUUCGGGAGAGGUGAGUGGAACUGCGAGUGUAGAGGUGAAAUUCGUAGAUAUUCGCAAGAACACCAGUGGCGAAGGCGCUCACUGGCCCGAUACUGACGCUGAGGCACGAAAGCGUGGGGAGCAAACAGG
rnacentral:rRNA from 1 species